rnacentral:lncRNA from 1 species
UGCCCUCCCUUACUUAUUUCCUCUAUGCCUUCGAGUCACAUCUCCCUUUUAUAAGCGUCAUAGACAAGCACCCAACUACCAUACUCUAUGCACCUUUGGGUGUGGAUGCUAUCCCUACAAUUCAUCGAAGCUACAGCAGUGAUCUUUUGUAAAAAUGCCCCACUUCAGUCUGGUCUGAGGAUAAGCAGGCAUGCAUAGUAUCGAAGACGCAUAGAGCUUUAGAAUCUCAGCUCUUUGACACAGAUAUGAGAUAGCUGCCAAGAGGAAGACAAGGAAUUUGACUUCGACGCUUAGCUUAGUCAGGCAAUAAGAAAAGCAUGAAGAGAGAUACGACCCCAUCUCUCUAAAAAGUAAGAGGAUUUCAUACCGACAAACCUUCAAUUUCUAACUCUAAAGCAUUCCUGAACAAUAGCCUCGAACCCAGAGAAUUAGAUUCGCUUAAGUUGUAAUAUCUGUGUAGGAAAUUAAGCUUUUUCAAGCCCAGUCGCCGAUUUGAUCCGCCCCAAAGCUUUCCCCGAGAAGCCUGCUAUUGAGCAUUCAUCCGUCCCUUCUUUGCGUUGUGCAAUGCCAUUCCUGGGAUCCGUAUCAUCUUGACUUGGUUCUUUUUUUUUCUAUUUUUUUUAGAAUGUGACUUCGAGAGGUUGUGACAUCCAGAGAAGAAUCCAGAUUGGGGCAUGUAUAUGAACAACUUACAUUGAUAAAUGCCCAAGGAAAGAAAAAGGCCAUCCGCUCUCUCACAGCCAAUCCUAAGAAAAGAGGUGUUGGAUCACCAAGCAUGACCUUCUCUCGCACGAAAUGGUAAUCAAU